UUUGACUGUGCAAAGGUAGCAUAAUCAAUAGUUUUUUAAUUAAAAGCUUGUAUGAAAGGUUGGACGAAAUAAUAGCUGUCUUUAUUUAAUAAUUAUUAAAAUUUAAUUUUUAAGUUAAAAAGCUUAAAUAUUAAUAAAAGACGAGAAGACCCUAUAGAGCUUUAUAAAUUUUAAUUUAUUAAUAUUUAAGAUUUUUUAUUUUUAUAAAUUUAAGUUUAUUAUAUUGGGGUAAUAGAAAGAUUUAAUUAAUUCUUUUUUUUUAUUUUAUUAAUAUAUAUUUAUAAUGAUCCAUUAUUAUUGAUUAUAAGAUUAAGUUACCUUAGGGAUAACAGCGUAAUUUUUUUAGAGAGUUCAUAUUGAUAAAAAAGUUUGCGACCUCGAUGUUGGAUUAAAGAUUAAUUUAGGUGCAAAAGUUUAAAUUUUUGGUCUGUUCGACCAUUAAAUCUUUACAUGAUCUGAGUUCAGACCGGUUUAAGCCAGGUCGGUUUCUAUCUUUAUUAAAUUAAAAUAUUUUAGUACGAAAGGACCAAAUAUUUAUUAUAAUAAUUUUAUUUUUGAAUAAUAAU
rnacentral:rRNA from 1 species